rnacentral:rRNA from 1 species
UACGAAGGGGGGCUAGCGUUGCUCGGAAUCACUGGGCGUAAAAGCGCACGUAGGCGGAUUGUUAAGUCAGGGGUGAAAUCCUGGAGCUCAACUCCAGAACUGCCUUUGAUACUGGCGAUCUCGAGUCCGGGAGAGGUGAGUGGAACUGCGAGUGUAGAGGUGAAAUUCGUAGAUAUUCGCAAGAACACCAGUGGCGAAGGCGGCUCACUGGCCCGGUACUGACGCUGAGGUGCGAAAGCGUGGGGAGCAAACAGGAUUAAGAA